GUUUAUAGUUUGCUGAUAAAUACUAUGAAAUUGAAAGAAGCUUCAAUCUUUGGGAAGUCAGUGGCAAGUGUCCGACAUCUCAUUAUCUACAACUACCACACAGUAAAAAAUUUUUCGUCAUUGUGUGAAGUGUAAAAAUUAUUGUGUAGAAUAAUAAACUCUAAUGUGUAGAAUUUUACAUUCUCAUGUGUUGAUUUAACACACUAGAAUGUAGAAUUAACAUAAGUUUGUGUAAAAAUAGUCCGUAACACAAAUAUUUAUGUUAAAUUUGACGAAAAUUUUUUUACUGUGCAGACAACGAAAUACAAGUUAUCCAUUGCGAUAUUUCAGAAAUAACUAAAAUGGAAUCAGGACUUAUUGGUAGAGCAACAGUAAAUGGAACAAAAUUAAAUGUGCAAUACCAUAUUCCUAUCGUAGGUGAUAAAACUAGAGAUAUCUGGGUAAUAGACACUGAUCACGAUACCUUCGCAGUUCUUUGGGCCUGCACUGACUACGGAUUCAUACACGUUGCAUACGGAUGGACACUUGUAAAAAAAUCUUAUAUUAACCGAGAUUUUUCUGCACAAAUUCAAACUGCA